CUUUUCCUUUCCCACUUUAACCUUCAUCAAACACAAUUCCAUUAUAAAAACACACAAGAGGAAACUAGAGAGCAUUAAGAACUUGUGAAGAGAUCUACAUAGAAACUAGCAAUGACUACUUUGGUGGGGACUUGGUUGGGAGAGUUCAAUAAAUUGGGAAAUAAUCAGUGUCAGAAUUCGGAGCACCGCGGCAAAGCAGAAGCACCGAAAAAAGAAAAAGAUCUUAUGGGAGCAAAUGAGGCGUUUUUUGGAAAGGAGAAGAGAAAAAGAGGUGGGAACAUCUCAGAAGCCACUUUAUGUUUGCUUAUGGAUCGCUUUGCCCCUAGCUAGUUGAGUACCUUACGCGUGUAUAGUUUUGUAUAAGUAUUGUAUGCUUUCGUAUGUAUAUAUGUAUAUAUAUAUGUAUAUUUUCCUUAUGUAUUCGGUAUGUUCUUACUUUGAAGAAGUAACUGUUUCUUAUUUCGUGUAUUAUUUCACUUCCCCACAAAUUAUUUCUUUNGAGUUCAAUAAAUUGGGAAAUAAUCAGUGUCAGAAUUCGGAGCACCGCGGCAAAGCAGAAGCACCGAAAAAAGAAAAAGAUCUUAUGGGAGCAAAUGAAGCGUUUUUUGGAAAGGAGAAGAGAAAAAGAGGUGACAAAAUUAAAAUUUGAUUUGCAAAGUUAUAAAAUAUAGUAAGAAAAUUUAAAAGAAAAUUUAUUUUAGCUAGUUGAGUACCUUACGCGUGUAUAGUUUUGUAUAAGUAUUGUAUGCUUUCGUAUGUAUAUAUGUAUAUAUUAUUUUAUAUUUUCCUUAUGUAUUCGGUAUGUUCUUACUUUGAAGAAGUAACUGUUUCUUAUUUCGUGUAUUAUUUCACUUCCCCACAAAUUAUUUCUUUUUUUUCAAAGAAAAAUAAUAAUUUAUCUAUUUCGUUCUUUUUUUUUACAUGUAAGUGAACUCAGUUGAAAAUAUAAAAUAAUUAAAUUUUGAAUUUAAAAUUUCGUGUAUCAAACAUCAAAUUCCGAACUAACUGAAUUAGAUACGAUUAAUCUCCUCUAGAAACUAUUACAUACUCUAUAAGUACACAUUCUUUAGUACAUUCAGCAUGUUUUAGUUUUGAUGCAGUAAUUACCUCCUCUGAUCUCUCUAUCACUCUUCAAUUUGUUUGUUUCGAUUAUACUUUCCACAAGAGAGAACCAUUCCUACCUUUAUUCCCUGAAUAUCCACUUUCUAUUUUGCCCCAGUACGAAAGUGCGUUUUCUGAAGUAAUUGAUUCAAUACU
rnacentral:lncRNA from 1 species